rnacentral:rRNA from 1 species
AGAGUUUGAUCCUGGCUCAGAACGAACGUUGGCGGCCUGGAUUAGGCAUGCAAGUUGAGCGUACCCAGCAAUGGGGAGCAGCGUAAGGGGCAGUAAGGUAUGGGUAUCUACCCGGGGAUCGGGCAUAGCCUGUAGAGAUACAGGGUAAUUCCCGAUGAUGUCGCAAGACCAAAGCUCCGGCGUCCCUGGAGGAGCCCAUAUGGUAUUACGGUAGAUGGUGGGGUAACGGCCCACCAUGCCUAAGAUGCCUAGCGGGUGUGAGAGCACGACCCGCGCCACUGGCACUGAGACACUGGCCAGACACCUACGGGUGGCUGCAGUCGAGGAUCUUCGGCAAUGGGCGCAAGCCUGACCGAGCGACGCCGCGUGUGCGACGAAGGCCUUCGGGUUGUAAACUCCUGUCGAGGGGGAAGAAGGCUCCGUGGAGAACGGAGCUUGACUGAUCCCUGGAGGAAGCACGGGCUAAGUUCGUGCCAGCAGCCGCGGUAAUUC